rnacentral:rRNA from 1 species
AGUGAACGCUGGCGGUAGGCCUAACACAUGCAAGUCGAACGGCAGCACAGUAAGAGCUUGCUCUUACGGGUGGCGAGUGGCGGACGGGUGAGGAAUACAUCGGAAUCUACUUUUUCGUGGGGGAUAACGUAGGGAAACUUACGCUAAUACCGCAUACGACCUACGGGUGAAAGCAGUGGAUCUUCGGACCUUGCGCGAUUGAAUGAGCCGAUGUCGGAUUAGCUAGUUGGCGGGGUAAAGGCCCACCAAGGCGACGAUCCGUAGCUGGUCUGAGAGGAUGAUCAGCCACACUGGAACUGAGACACGGUCCAGACUCCUACGGGAGGCAGCAGUGGGGAAUAUUGGACAAUGGGCGAAAGCCUGAUCCAGCCAUACCGCGUGGGUGAAGAAGGCCUUCGGGUUGUAAAGCCCUUUUGUUGGGAAAGAAAAGCAGCAGGUUAAUACCCCGCUGUUCUGACAGUACCCAAAGAAUAAGCACCGGCUAACUUCGUG